rnacentral:rRNA from 1 species
UCUCCUAAGGCUAAAUACUCUCUAGUGACCGAUAGUGAACCAGUACCGUGAGGGAAAGGUGAAAAGCACCCCGGAAGGGGAGUGAAAUAGAACCUGAAACCGUGUGCUUACAAGUAGUCAGAGCCCGUUAAUGGGUGAUGGCGUGCCUUUUGUAGAAUGAACCGGCGAGUUACGAUUUGAUGCAAGGUUAAGCAGUAAAUGUGGAGCCGUAGCGAAAGCGAGUCUGAAUAGGGCGUUUAGUAUUUGGUCGUAGACCCGAAACCAGGUGAUCUACCCUUGGUCAGGUUGAAGUUCAGGUAACACUGAAUGGAGGACCGAACCGACUUACGUUGAAAAGUGAGCGGAUGAACUGAGGGUAGCGGAGAAAUUCCAAUCGAACCUGGAGAUAGCUGGUU